rnacentral:lncRNA from 1 species
GGGUGCCGUCAUUUUGGGGGUUUUUGGAGACUUUUGGGGUUUUGAAUUUUAUUUUCCCAUGGAGACAAUGAGCACACGGUUCUGAGGUUUAAAUAACAGAAGCACUUUUCUCCUUUAUUUUUCCUUUCCAUCAUGAAAAUUACUGCAACAUUAUUUUGUUAGCCAUGGAGUUUCUUGUUGAUUAAAAACGAUGCAGCAAAAAUCUCGAAGGGGGAGCUCCCAAAUUAAUACGCUAUUUCCGUUUUGCUUUUGAAGAAAUAUGGUUUAAACGUUGCUUUAAAUGGUUGAGAGAGUGAGGUACAUUUUCUUUCCUNGAAGUGCUGAAAUCGNUACUUUCAUNGGUCUUGGUUGAAUGUUAAUNGGGAGAAAUAAUAUGAGAGUUGGAACAGUGCAUGGCUGGCACGUUGCAGUAGGAAGUAAAUUUAAUUUGCUGAAAAGGGUGCAAGCUUCAACGCUAUUUUGAAUAUGGUGGGUCAGGUCUCAGAAUGAAGAUUCAACUUGUUGCUGGAAGAUGGGUUCCAAUCACGGUGCAUUUACUUANUAUGCAAAAGCNUUUCUUUCAUCUUGGGANUUAUAAUUAAAUGAAGGCAUUGAUUAUAUACCCUUGGUCACGGUGCUGGAAAGAGGAAAAUAGUUCUCAACUUUGAAAUCAUGGAAUUUAGUAGUCACGGCCAGGAGGUUAUUUUACAGCAUUGCAAAUUCAAUUUCAUUAGUAGAUGCAUUGGUCAUAUAAAUUGUUAGUAGGAGUUUGUGUUGUUUAUUUCUUGUGUUUUAAAUUAAUUUGAAUUGUAGGAUUAGUUGUUUUUAAUUUCUUUAAUUUAGUUUUGCAUUUAAUUUAAUUUAACUGUGUUUAGAUAUUUGUUUAGUCUAGUAUUUGGUUUAGCAUUUUCACUCUCUGGACUCGAUUUUAAAAAAAUAACUGCA